GGCCUGUCCUUUGCAAUUGCCAGCUGACAGGCAGUCAACGCCGAUUGCCAUCUUCACGACAAAGGCGCCGU
rnacentral:ncRNA from 1 species